GAUGAACGCUGGCGGCGUGCCUAAUACAUGCAAGUCGAGCGAACAGACGAGGAGCUUGCUCCUCUGACGUUAGCGGCGGACGGGUGAGUAACACGUGGAUAACCUACCUAUAAGACUGGGAUAACUUCGGGAAACCGGAGCUAAUACCGGAUAAUAUAUUGAACCGCAUGGUUCAAUAGUGAAAGACGGUUUUGCUGUCACUUAUAGAUGGAUCCGCGUCGCAUUAGCUAGUUGGUAAGGUAACGGCUUACCAAGGCAACGAUGCGUAGCCGACCUGAGAGGGUGAUCGGCCACACUGGAACUGAGACACGGUCCAGACUCCUACGGGAGGCAGCAGUAGGGAAUCUUCCGCAAUGGGCGAAAGCCUGACGGAGCAACGCCGCGUGAGUGAUGAAGGUCUUCGGAUCGUAAAACUCUGUUAUUAGGGAAGAACAAAUGUGUAAGUAACUAUGCGCGUCUUGACGGUACCUAAUCAGAAAGCCACGGCUAACUACGUG
rnacentral:rRNA from 1 species